GGGGUUGUGGCUCAGAGGUAGAGCACCCGCCUAGCAUGUGUGGGACACUGGGUUUGAUCCUCAGCACCACA
rnacentral:tRNA from 1 species